rnacentral:rRNA from 1 species
CCUACGGGAGGCAGCAGUGAGGAAUAUUGGUCAAUGGACGAGAGUCUGAACCAGCCAAGUAGCGUGAAGGAUGACUGCCCUAUGGGUUGUAAACUUCUUUUAUAUGGGAAUAAAAUGUUCCACGUGUGCGUUUUUGUAUGUACCUUAUGAAUAAGGAUCGGCUAACUCCGUGCCAGCAGCCGCGGUAAUACGGAGGAUCCGAGCGUUAUCCGGAUUUAUUGGGUUUAAAGGGAGCGUAGGUGGAUUGUUAAGUCAGUUGUGAAAGUUUGCGGCUCAACCGUAAAAUUGCAGUUGAUACUGGCAGUCUUGAGUACAGUAGAGGUGGGCGGAAUUCGUGGUGUAGCGGUGAAAUGCUUAGAUAUCACGAAGAACUCCGAUUGCGAAGGCAGCUCACUGGACUGCAACUGACACUGAGGCUCGAAAGUGUGGGUAUCAAACAGGAUUAGAUACCCCAGUAGUC